rnacentral:lncRNA from 1 species
CAUUAAUCAAGACUAAAUGAAAACAUUGCUUCUGUGCCUAACAAACUGACAUCUUCUUUAUAAACUAGAGAUUUUUUUUCUUGUGUACAAAACUUUCAUUUCAGUGAUUAUAUCAUGUUUGAAAACUGGUGGAGUGCCAAGGAAAAGGAGUGGGAAGUAAUCCAGAAAAACAGCUUUGUAUCAAAAAUAAAAAGGAACAAGUGCAAGUGAAAUUGAGGAUCCCUAGGAAGCUGUUUCCAGCAUUUGAGUGAUAUGUAUAGAAAACUACAAAAAGGAAGACAAAACAUCAAAGAACUUUUCAAGAUACAAGGGUAAUAAUUCAUUCAUCUUUGAAGAGCCACUCCCAUGAAGUUGUCAGAAUCAAGACCAUGGAGAGAUAGAGCUGCUUUAGAGGGACUCUUCAAACUCAUACAACUCUUGUCAGGACCCUUAAAAUUGAUAAGAAGGAUGGCCUCUGUGAACUCAUCUCCUAGGCUUCCAUGCCCUCUGGCUUGUGGUUUGAUGUGACCUUUGGGAGGUACUGGCAGGAGAUCAGAAGGUGAGAAGAGAGACAAGCUGGAGUAUUUGUUCACCCUAUGCCAUCUCUCUCUGGUCUGGAUUAUGGCCAUGGCUGCAUUCUAUGGUUAUAGCUCCCCUCAUCCAUGACCUAAAAUUACCCCUAGAUUCUAGAGUCUCAUAUAGUUUCCUAUCCUUUUCAGGCCUAACGUAGUAAAUAACUUCUGCUAGUCUCUGCCAUUUCACCACCCCUUGUGGGCUCUCUCACCUCCAUCCCCUCUAUAAACAGUUGCUUCAUUUACCUCUUUUAAGCUCAUCCCUCAGAGUGCACAUUUUACUUAUGGACUCCAGAAGAGACACUACUAAUCUACAUACCUUCAUGAAUAUAAUUUUAGAUCAUUUUUAAAAAUAAGAGCCACUUACCUAUGUCAUCAAUGUGUUAAACAUCAAUAUCAUAGGAUAGUCCCAUUGUAUCCUGAUCUAAAACAUGUUUAGAAGGAAUGUUAUUUGAUUCAUGGUAUAAGAAACUUUGAGACAGAAGAUCACCUGAUCUCAAGAGGUCAAGGCUGUAGUGAACUGUGAUUGUGCCGCUGCACUCCAGUGUGGGUGCUGGGUAACAGAGUGAGACCCUGUCUAAAAAGAAAGAAAGAAAAAGAAAGAACAAGAGAGGGAAGGAAGGAAGGACAGAAAGAAAGAAAAAGAGAAAGAAAGAAAGAAAAUUCAUUAAUGUAAAAUGUUAAAAUGGGAUCUACAAUAUUUCACCUUUCUGAUAAGGUUUAAAAAAUCAUCCAUAUACGUAAGAAAGCAUCUGCUGUGAGUUAUUUUAAUAACAAUUACAAAAAGGUUUGUUGGCUAUCUGAAUUCAUUUGGUAAAGUUCAAGCCAUUCUGUUCAUUCCUUGAAUUAAUUGUACAUUUUGGGGCCAUCCUGAUAUAUUUGCACUUGCCCACA